rnacentral:rRNA from 1 species
CCCAGACUCCUACGGGAGGCAGCAGUGAGGAAUAUUGGUCAAUGGGCGCGAGCCUGAACCAGCCAAGUCGCGUGAGGGAGGACGGCCCUACGGGUUGUAAACCUCUUUUGCCGGGGAGCAACGGGCGUCACGUGUGGCGCCACUGAGAGUACCCGGAGAAAAAGCAUCGGCUAACUCCGUGCCAGCAGCCGCGGUAAUACGGAGGAUGCGAGCGUUAUCCGGAUUUAUUGGGUUUAAAGGGUGCGCAGGCGGAAGAUCAAGUCGGCGGUAAAAUUGAGGGGCUCACCCUCUUCGAGCCGUUGAAACUGGUUUUCUUGAGUGAGCGAGAAGUAUGCGGAAUGCGUGGUGUAGCGGUGAAAUGCAUAGAUAUCGCGCAGAACUCCGAUUGCGAAGGCAGCAUGCCGGCUCCACACUGACGCUGAGGCACGAAAGCGUGGGUAUCGAACAGGAUUAGAUACCCGCGUA